GGCAGAGUAGAUAAAUGUGCGUCAAGUGCUAGUUGGACGGGAAGUUGCCGCUAGACGAAAGCUUUAAAAAGCUGCGGUGCAUUUAUCGCAUUCCGCUGCC
rnacentral:ncRNA from 2 species